rnacentral:rRNA from 1 species
UUCCGGUUGAUCCUGCCGGACCUGACUGCUAUCGGAUUGAUACUAAGCCAUGCGAGUCAUUGCAGCAAUGCAAGGCAGACGGCUCAGUAACGCGUAGUCAACCUAACCUAUGGACGGGAAUAACCUCGGGAAACUGAGAAUAAUGCCCGAUAGAACACUAUACCUGGAAUGGUUUGUGUUCCAAAUGAUUUAUCGCCGUAGGAUGGGACUGCGGCCUAUCAGUUUGUUGGUGAGGUAAUGGCCCACCAAGACUAUUACAGGUACGGGCUCUGAGAGGAGUAGCCCGGAGAUGGGUACUGAGACACGGACCCAGGCCCUAUGGGGCGCAGCAGGCGAGAAAACUUUGCAAUGUGCGAAAGCACGACAAGGUUAAUCCGAGUGGUUUCUGCUAAAGGAACCUUUUGUUAGUCCUAGAACCACUAACGAAUAAGGGGUGGGCAAGUUCUGGUGUCAGCCGCCGCGGUAAAACCAGCACCUCAAGUGGUCAGGAUGAUUAUUGGGCCUAAAGCAUCCGUAGCCGGCUCAGUAAGUUUUCGGUUAAAUCUGUACGCUCAACGUACAGGCUGCCGGGAAUACUGCAGAGCUAGGGAGUGGGAGAGGUAGACGGUACUCGGGAGGAAGUGGUAAAAUGCUUUGAUCUUUCGAUGACCACCUGUGGCGAAGGCGGUCUACCAGAACACGUCCGACGGUGAGGGAUGAAAGCUGGGGGAGCAAACCGGAUUAGAUACCCGGGUAGUCCCAGCUGUAAACUAUGCAAACUCAGUGAUGCAUUGGCUUGUGGCCAAUGCAGUGUUGCAGGGAAGCCGUUAAGUUUGCCGCCUGGGAAGUACGUACGCAAGGUAUGAACUUAAAGGAAUUGGCGGGGAGCAC